rnacentral:misc_RNA from 1 species
GCUCAUGUUCAUGGUAGAGAAGGUAAGGAAAUCACUAUGGCUUACAAUAUCUUAUUUCAUAUUGACUCAAGUAUAAUCAAUGUCUCUAGACAUGAUUUCUCAAUAUAAUAGGUUGUCACAUCUGCUCUUGAUGAAUGAUAUGGUAGUAAAUGUAGUAUCUUUAGCUUUUAUGCUUUAGUACAACAUGAUAUAUGCUGGGAAAAUCCAUCUCAUUUAAGACAAUGGUAGAUCGGCAUAUAUAUGUAAAUGUGCUUGGUUUGGUUUUUUUAUUAUUUUAAUAAAUUCUUUUUAAAGAAAUUAUGAUGCGUUCAUUGCUUUCUGAAUUUCUGAAUGGCAUAUUUCUUACAUUUUCAUGUGCUGUUUAAUUUUUGGCAAUUGUUUUCUUGAAGGUGGCCGUGAAAUUCAUCAG